rnacentral:rRNA from 1 species
UACAGAGGGGGCAAGCGUUGUUCGGAAUUACUGGGCGUAAAGGGCGCGUAGGUGGUUUGUCGCGUUGUUCGUGAAAACUCACAGCUCAACUGUGGGCGUGCGGGCGAUACGGGCAGACUAGAGUACUGCAGGGGAGACUGGAAUUCCUGGUGUAGCGGUGGAAUGCGCAGAUAUCAGGAGGAACACCGGUGGCGAAGGCGGGUCUCUGGGCAGUAACUGACGCUGAGGAGCGAAAGCGUGGGGAGCGAACAGG